rnacentral:rRNA from 1 species
CGGGACACGUGGUAUCCUGUCUGAAUAUGGGGGGACCAUCCUCCAAGGCUAAAUACUCCUGACUGACCGAUAGUGAACCAGUACCGUGAGGGAAAGGCGAAAAGAACCCCGGCGAGGGGAGUGAAAAAGAACCUGAAACCGUGUACGUACAAGCAGUGGGAGCACGCUUAGGCGUGUGACUGCGUACCUUUUGUAUAAUGGGUCAGCGACUUAUAUUCUGUAGCAAGGUUAACCGAAUAGGGGAGCCGAAGGGAAACCGAGUCUUAACUGGGCGUUAAGUUGCAGGGUAUAGACCCGAAACCCGGUGAUCUAGCCAUGGGCAGGUUGAAGGUUGGGUAACACUAACUGGAGGACCGAACCGACUAAUGUUGAAAAAUUAGCGGAUGACUUGUGGCUGGGGGUGAAAGGCCAAUCAAACCGGGAGAUAGCUG